CUCCAUCUCCGCCAACUAAACCCUAGUUUUUUCAUCUGAAUCUUGCUCGAAGAGGCCGGCGGCAGCCUUGGCUGUCGGCCUCCUCCACUUGUUAGUUGUAGCUUGCCUCAACCAUAUCCACCAUGUUUCAGAAUCACUGUCUCCUCCUUCUUGUCUCUAGGUUCUGGAUUUUUGUCACUACAAAUCUAAUCGGAAGUUUGGUGAGUGCCUCUCUUCCCUGGAACCUAGUCGAGGUCGAGACGGUCUCGUGAAUCAUGGUGGCCUUGCCUUUCCGCCUCUCCAAACCGCCAGCGUUAGAUCUGGGUCAGAUCUAAGCCCAAGCCAUCGUGAAUAGUUUGGAAGCGUCGCUGCCUCUCCUCUCAUCACGUCCGACUUGCCUCCUGGUGGUAUGUCAGUCGCGUAGAUCCAAGGUGCGUAGAGCCUCUCCUCAGGAUUUGUUCCUCUGAGAGCGGCGGAGUGGUGGUUCUCCGCUGAGAGCCUCUUCUCUUAGCUUCAAGUAUCAGCUUCCAUGGUAAUAUCUGUUGUUGCUCUGUUUCUCUCUGUUGUGCUUUGAUGGUUGAUGCUCAGGGUCCUUGAGGACA
rnacentral:lncRNA from 1 species